rnacentral:miRNA from 1 species
UGUGUGUGUGUGUGUGUGUGUGUGUGCAUGGUUGUAUAACCAUGCGCACACACACACACACACACACACACACACACACACACACACACACA